GGCUACGGCCAUAUCACUAUGAAUGCACCUCAUCCCGUCCGAUUUGAGAAGUUAAGCAUAGUCGAGCCACAUCAGUACUGAGGUUGGAGACAACUUGGGAACCUGUGGUGCUGUAGUCU
rfam:Naegleria gruberi genomic scaffold NAEGRscaffold_13, whole genome shotgun sequence.